rnacentral:rRNA from 1 species
UACGAAGGGAGCUAGCGUUGUUCGGAAUCACUGGGCGUAAAGCGCACGUAGGCGGAUUUGUCAGUCAGGGGUGAAAUCCCGGGGCUCAACCUCGGAACUGCCUUUGAUACAGCAAGUCUUGAGUCCGAUAGAGGUGGGUGGAAUUCCUAGUGUAGAGGUGAAAUUCGUAGAUAUUAGGAAGAACACCGGUGGCGAAGGCGGCCCACUGGAUCGGUACUGACGCUGAGGUGCGAAAGCGUGGGGAGCAAACAGG